UUUAGGUGGUUACUAGGGAGUUGCUAUGUAGUUGUUUAGGUGUUUCUGUGGUUACUAUGAAGAUGCUAUGUGGUUGUCUAGGUGUACAGGUGGUUGCUAGGGAGUUGAUAUGUGGUUGUCUAAGUUUUCAUGUGGUUGCUAGGGAGUUGAUUUGUGGUUGUCUAGGUGUUCAGGUGGUUACUAAGGAGUUGCUUUGUGGUUGUCAAGGUGUACAGGUGGUUGCUAGGGAGUUGCUUUGUGGUUGUCUAGGUGUACAGGUGGUUGCUAGGGAGUUGAUAUGUGGUUGUCAAGGUGUUCAGGUGGUUACUAAGGAGUUGCUUUGUGGUUGUCUAGGUGUUCAGGUGGUUGCUAGGGAGUUGCUUUGUGGUUGUCUAAGUUUUCACGAGGUUACUAAGGAGUUGCUAUGUGGUUGUCAAGGUGUACAGGUGGUUGCUAGGGAGUUGCUUUGUGGUUGUCUAGGUGUUCAGGUGGUUACUAAGGAGUUGCUUUGUGGUUGUCUAGGUGUACAGGUGGUUGCUAGGGAGUUGCUUUGUGGUUGUCUAGGUGUUCAGGUGGUCACUAAGGAGUUGCUUUGUGGUUGUCUAGGUGUUCAGGUGGUUACUAAGGAGUUGCUUUGUGGUUGUCUAGGUGUACAGGUGGUUGCUAGGGAGUUGCUUUGUGGUUGUCUAGGUGUUC
ensembl:lncRNA